GUACUUUAGGAUGUGACUAUAAUUGGACAUGGGGCCAUUAAAGAAGUAGAUGAAAGGACCAUUAGUGUGAACUUGCUUCUUAUUUGAUGGAUGCCUUGUACAUCACAAGAAGGCAAAGACAUCAGCAGGCUAAGAAGACAGAUCUCACAAGAAACUACCCCUUCUAAUACUUCUGUAUCUCAGACUUACAACUUCUAGAACUAUAAAGGCGGUACGAUUUAUCGUUUGACAUUGCUUCUCAGAUACAUUAUCCAGGACUACACAAAGGCUGAGCUUAUAAGUAGACUCGAGAAUAAUGUAAACACAUUGAGGCCUUUUCUAAAUAUCGUCAAGCUCGGCUCCUCAGAAGUCCAUGCCUGUACCGGCUUCAGAAAACGAGUGCGGGUGCAGGCUCCUGCUGUGUGGAUAGACACUCGGUCAAGACAGUGCUAGAAGCUACCUCAAACGGUAUCCCGGUGCCACUGCAUACUGGCCUAGAAGGAUGAAGCAAAGUUUAGAACAGAUCCACGCAGGAAGCAAAAUACAGUGUAGUACAUUUUGAUCGCUGGGACAUGGCAGGAGGCGAUGGAUGAGAGGUUUCAGAAGAGCUCAUGCUACAGAAGCUGAGAUUCAACCAGUCUAGGAGACCCCAGUGCCUCUCAGUGUGCGGGUGACUGCCGAAGGAAGUUAAAUAGGUAACAACAGAAUGAAUGUUUUGUGUGCUGGCAAGACCCAUCUUAGAAUGGUUGCUGAAGUAUAUUCUAGAACUGCCUAUGGCCAGUAUUUUCAUUAAAGAACCAAACCAGUAAAUAUUCUCGAUGAUAGCAGCCUUAUUGUACGCAGGCAGACAAGGAUGGCUGAGUUCCCUUAAACUGACUCAUAAAAAUGGAUAACAAGGAGGAUUUGGUCCACUAACGUGCUUUGUCAAUACUUCUCUUAAUCAUAUCCUGACCACAGGCCUCCAAAGUAUGGCAGUAAAAGCUCAUUAAAAUGACAUUUAUUUACUUACUUUUAGUGAGGCCUAAAUCAUAACCCUCAUUAAAAUUAUGAACCCAACAUGGAAACCUGCUAUCAUUUCCAUAAUUUACUGCUCACUGUUCUUGAGGUGCAAAUUGAUUCAGUUGAAUAAAGGAAAGAAACGUGAAGAAUUCAACUAGAAAAUUAUCAACAGCGACAGACAUUCAGGAUGAUGACGAUGUACAAACUUAGUUCAAGAGAGUCAUCUUUUUGAAUAUGAAUAGUCUUUUAGAAAACAGCAGUAAAGUGUAAUUUAGAGCACAACUAAUAAUAUUUAGUAAUAAAUAGGAAUAUUUAUGAUCAAUAGGAAAAUAUUUGAGAAUCUAGAGAUAUAAAAAAUGCUUGAGUAAAACAGGAAAAAAAUCAUCUUGUUUGCAUGAAGGAAGGCAUAUUAUGAGAAGGCUAAAAUAAUCUGUGGAUUUACCCAAAGCCUCAAGAAUGGGAAAGGCAUUUAACUUUAAUUGUUUUAGAUAUAAACAUAUUUAUUUAGUUACAAAUUAAAUGAUGUUCUAAAGAUCAACAGGCAAGUAAAGAAUGCUAAGGGAGGAAAAAGCAAUCUCCCCUUAGGACCAACCCCCUAAGCUGAUGAUUGGUUAUUCAAUACCAAGUGGUCAGCCCUGAAAUCACAUAUAUACAAGUAACAUACUGACUGAGAAAGACCUGUAUCUACAUAUUCACAGACAUACAGACAAUUUAAAC
ensembl:lncRNA